AACGAACGCUGGCGGCGCGCCUAAUACAUGCAAGUCGAGCGAGAAGACGUAGCAAUACGUUUGUAAAGCGGCGAACGGGUGAGGAAUACAUGGGUAACCUACCCUCGACGUGGGGAAGUAACUAGCCGAAAGGUUAGCUAAUACCGCGUACGCUCCUUGGACUUCGGUUCAGGGAGGAAAGCGAUACCGUGGGUAUCGCGCUCUUGGAUGGGGCUCAUGUCCUAUCAGCUUGUGGUGAGGUACGGCUCACCAAGGCUUCGACGGGUAGCUGGUCUGAGAGGACGAUCAGCCACACUGGCAUUGCGACACGGGCCAGACUCCUACGGGAGGCAGCAGUAAGGAAUAUUGCGCAA
rnacentral:rRNA from 1 species